AGUGAACGCUGGCGGUAGGCCUAACACAUGCAAGUCGAACGGCAACACAAUACAAGUUUCCUCUUAGCUGACGAGAGUCGCGGACGGGUGAAGUAUAUAGGGGAAUCUACGUUUUCGGGGGGGAACUCGUAGGGAAACUUACGAUAAUACCGUAAACUACCUACAGCUAAAAGCAGGGGCUCUUCGGACCUUGCCCGCUUGAUUGAGCCGAUGUGGGAUUAGAUAGUUGGCGGGGUAAAGGCCCACCAAGGCGACGACCCGUAGCUGGUCUGAGAGGAUGAUCAGCCACACUGGAACUGAGACACGGUCCAGACUCCUACGGGAGGCAGCAGUGGGGAAUAUUGGACAAUGGGCGCAAGCCUGAUGCAGCCAUACCGCGUGGAUGAAGAAGGCCUUCGGGUUGUAAAGUCCUUUUAUCGGGAAAGAAAGGCGGCAGGUUAAUACCCCGCUGUUCUGACGGUACCCAAAGAAGAAGCACCGGCUAACUUCGUG
rnacentral:rRNA from 1 species